UCCGGUUGAUCCUGCCGGACCCGACUGCUAUCAGAGUGGGACUAAGCCAUGCGAGUCAACAUAGCAAUAUGUGGCAUACGGCUCAGUAACACGUAGUCAACAUGCCCAGGGGACGUGGAUAACCUCGGGAAACUGAGGAUAAACCGCGAUAGGCCAUCACUUCUGGAAUGGGUAAUGACUUAAAUCUAUAUGGCCCCUGGAUUGGACUGCGGCCGAUCAGGCUGUUGGUGAGGUAAUGGCCCACCAAACCUGUAACCGGUACGGGCUCUGAGAGGAGGAGCCCGGAGAUGGGCACUGAGACAAGGGCCCAGGCCCUAUGGGGCGCAGCAGGCGCGAAACCUCUGCAAUAGGCGAAAGCUUGACAGGGUUACUCUGAGUGAUUUCCGUUAAGGAGAUCUUUUGGCACCUCUAAAAAUGGUGCAGAAUAAGGGGUGGGCAAGUCUGGUGUCAGCCGCCGCGGUAAUACCAGCACCCCGAGUGGUCGGGACGUUUAUUGGGCCUAAAGCAUCCGUAGCCGGUUCUACAAGUCUUCCGUUAAAUCCACCUGCUUAACAGAUGGGCUGCGGAAGAUACUAUAGAGCUAGGAGGCGGGAGAGGCAAGCGGUACUCGAUGGGUAGGGGUAAAAUCCGUUGAUCCAUUGAAGACCACCAGUGGCGAAGGCGGCUUGCCAGAACGCGCUCGACGGUGAGGGAUGAAAGCUGGGGGAGCAAACCGGAUUAGAUACCCGGGUAGUCCCAGCUGUAAACGAUGCAGACUCGGUGAUGAGUUGGCUUAUUGCUAACUCAGUGCCGCAGGGAAGCCGUUAAGUUUGCCGCCUGGGGAGUACGGUCGCAAGACUGAAACUUAAAGGAAUUGGCGGGGGAGCACCACAAGGGGUGAAGCCUGCGGUUCAAUUGGAGUCAACGCCGGAAAUCUUACCGGGGGCGACAGCAGAGUGAAGGUCAAGCUGAAGACUUUACCAGACAAGCUGAGAGGAGGUGCAUGGCCGUCGCCAGCUCGUGCCGUGAGGUGUCCUGUUAAGUCAGGUAACGAGCGAGACCCA
rnacentral:rRNA from 1 species